rnacentral:rRNA from 1 species
CCUACGGGAGGCAGCAGUGAGGAAUAUUGGUCAAUGGGCGUAAGCCUGAACCAGCCAAGUCGCGUGAGGGAUGAAGGUUCUAUGGAUCGUAAACCUCUUUUAUAAGGGAAUAAAGUGUGGGACGUGUCCUAUUUUGUAUGUACCUUAUGAAUAAGGAUCGGCUAACUCCGUGCCAGCAGCCGCGGUAAUACGGAGGAUCCGAGCGUUAUCCGGAUUUAUUGGGUUUAAAGGGUGCGUAGGCGGCCUUUUACGGCAGUGGUGAAAGUUUGGGGGUCAACCAUAGAAUGGCCGUUGAAACUGGGGGGCGCGAGUAUGUUUGAGGCAGGCGGAAGGCGUGGUGGAGCGGUGAAAUGCUUAGAUAUCACGCAGAACCCCGAUUGCGAAGGCAGCCUGCCAGGCCAUGACUGACGCUGAUGCACGAAAGCGUGGGGAUCAAACAGGAUUAGAUACCCGAGUAGUC